CCCGUAGUUGACGACGUGUGUUCAGUGAAAUCGAGUAGGGCGGGACACGUGAUAUCCUGUCUGAAUAUGGGGGGACCAUCCUCCAAGGCUAAAUACUACUGACUGACCGAUAGUGAACCAGUACCGUGAGGGAAAGGCGAAAAGAACCCCUGUGAGGGGAGUGAAAUAGAACCUGAAACCGUGUACGUACAAGCAGUAGGAGCAGGCUUUGUCCUGUGACUGCGUACCUUUUGUAUAAUGGGUCAGCGACUUAUAUUCAGUGGCAAGGUUAACCAUCUAGGGGAGCCGUAGGGAAACCGAGUCUUAACUGGGCGUUCAGUCUCUGGAUAUAGACCCGAAACCAGGUGAUCUAGCCAUGGGCAGGUUGAAGGUUGAGUAACAUCAACUGGAGGACCGAACCGACUAAUGUUGAAAAAUUAGCGGAUGACUUGUGGCUAGGGGUGAAAGGCCAAUCAAACCUGGAGAUAGCUGGUUCUCCCCGAAAGCUAUUUAGGUAGCGCCUCGGACGAAUACUACUGGGGGUAGAGCACUGUUAAGGCUAGGGGGUCAUCCCGACUUACCAACCCUUUGCAAACUCCGAAUACCAGUAAGUACUAUCCGGGAGACACACGGCGGGUGCUAACGUCCGUCGUGGAGAGGGAAACAACCCAGACCGCCAGCUAAGGUCCCAAAUUACUACUAAGUGGGAAACGAUGUGGGAAGGCUCAGACAGCCAGGAUGUUGGCUUAGAAGCAGCCAUCAUUUAAAGAAAGCGUAAUAGCUCACUGGUCGAGUCGGCCUGCGCGGAAGAUGUAACGGGGCUAAGUAGUAAACCGAAGCUGCGGCAAUGUGCUUUUGCACAUUGGGUAGGGGAGCGUUCUGUAAGCGGUUGAAGGUGUGUGGUAACGCAUGCUGGACGUAUCAGAAGUGCGAAUGCUGACAUGAGUAACGAUAAAGGGGGUGAAAAACCUCCUCGCCGGAAGACCAAGGGUUCCUGUCCAACGUUAAUCGGGGCAGGGUAAGUCGACCCCUAAGGCGAGGCCGAAAGGCGUAGUCGAUGGGAAACGGGUUAAUAUUCCCGUACUUCUUACAAUUGCGAUGGGGGGACGGAGAAGGCUAGGUGGGCCUGGCGACGGUUGUCCAGGUUCAAGUG
rnacentral:rRNA from 2 species